rnacentral:rRNA from 1 species
AUGGGCGACAUCGGGAGCCGGCGGUGGGACUACUUGAUACUAGCGGCGAUCGUGCUCGGGGCGCUCGCCGCAAUCGCCCUCAUCCUGUGCCUCACCAUAAUAGGGGCCAGAGGGCCGCUCUACUCCGCCGCCAUCGACGCCGCCACCGGCCUCGACGGCGCCGACCUCGGCCGCUACGAUCUGAACCCUCUCUUCAACCUCACCCUCCGCGUCGCCUCGCGGAGCAUCUUCAGCGGCGACUGCACCGCGCCCGGCACGGUCGUGGAGGUGAGCUACGCCGGCGUCCCGCUCGCCGCGGGGCCCGUGCAGCGGUUCUGCACCAAGCGAAGGGGGACCAGGGACCUGCAGGCCAUUGCGGCGUGGGGGACGGCGGUGCAGGUCCUUCAUGUUUUUAGCAGUCACAUGUAUUGA